rnacentral:rRNA from 1 species
CUACGAAAGGUGCAAGCGUUGUUCGGAUUUACUGGGCGUAAAGAGAGUGUAGGUUGUUUAUUAAGUCGGAUGUGAAAUCCCGGGGCUCAACCUCAGAACUGCAUUCGAUACUGGUAGACUAGAGUUCGGGAGGGGUAAGCGGAAUUCCGUGUGUAGCAGUGAAAUGCGUAGAUAUACGGAGGAACACCUGAGGCGAAGGCGGCUUACUGGAUCGAUACUGACACUGAGACUCGAAAGCGUGGGUAGCAAACAGGAUUAGAAACCCUAGUAGUCC